AUUAAAUUUUAUUAUUGCAUAUUCAAUGUGCGCAAUGAAUAUACAACUGCAGAAUUGUUUUGUUUCAUUCUUUCGCAAGAAAAAUAUAAACAACAAACAAACAAUUGAAAUUUGAAAUUUGGCUGAUUAUUUGUCAUGGCAUUUAUUCAACAAUAUUCAACAAUAUAAACCAACAAACAACCAACAUCAACAAACUGGCCAACAAGUUAAAACUUGAUGACAAUUGGUCACUGAAGGGAAACCAACAGUAAAUGCAUAAUAAUUUCUAGCUGCUGGGCAGAUCCAUAACAGCUUAAUGAACGAUAUUUGAAUAAAUCACUGCCAAAAUUGGCAUUUUAGUGAACUCUCAAUCAAAUGCUAAUCCGCCAUGACAAUUAAAGCAGCAUAAAUUUAAUGAAAUUAAUCAACUAGUUGUUAUUCUUUUCAACAUACAACAAAAUAAACAAACAACAUCAUUCAUGCAUCGGAUAAACAGAAUUAUUUGGUACAUAAUAAAAUUGUUCUAAAGCAGUUUGAAAUGAAUUCAAAAAGAUAUCAUUGCCAAUAAACGACAAAUGGACACCAUCAUCACUAAAUAAAGAUUGGUGUUUGUCUUCAAAAUCAGAAUGAGUUAUAGUGUAACCCCCAGUUUCAUUUAAGUGAGAUUUAACCCCCUAUUUAUGCGUUUCCUGGUUGCAUCCAUUGCUUUAACAUCUUUGGAAUAUCUCCAUUUCAACCGUGGUAAAAAAAGUUUUCCACAGUUAACAAGUCCAAUAUCAUUGCCACCACAGUGAAGCAAAACAGCAUCUGGUAAACCGCAACAAUGUAUCAAAUUCUCUACUAUUGGUACAACGUUAUAUACUGACAUACCGGACAUUCCUGCCCACAUCAACUUGUAGCCUAACUUAUGCAACCCCAAAUCAUUUCCCAAAGGUCUUAUUUGACUAUGUGAUGAGGCUUUGGCAACCAAGGAGGAUCCAAUAAUCCAAACCACAAAAUUCCCUGAAAACAAUUAAAAUUAUUUAAUUUACCAAACGACUUAGCCUUAUAUAUGAUUUAAAAGAAUUAGAAUUCCAUCUCCCCAGGGUUUGUAUUUCUUCAUCAGUUUUGCCUUCCAAGGCUGCAGUUGUUGCAGCCCCUAUCCGGAAUGAAUGCGUAUUAAAAUCCUCAGGAUUCAAACUAAUAAAAUUUAAAGCAGACCUUAAAACAGCUAAAAACUGAAAACGAGUCAAUUUAUUAUGAUUAAGAUGACAAAAAAGUUGACCUUGAGAAUCUGGACGUAACUGUAAGUAAUCUUUUAACAUUUUGACAACACACAGUUCGUUAUCAUUAACAUUUGAAGACAAUAUUAAAGUUGUUGAACAACCAAUUUGAUCUGUCUUUGAAGACAUUAUUGUAACAAAAACUUCAGAAUCAAUAUCAUUAAAUUUAAUAUCAGAUAUUUUUAAAACAUGAUUAUCAGCAUUUUUGUUAACAUAUGUGAUUUCUCCAAUUCUCAUAAAUCCA
rnacentral:lncRNA from 1 species